GACGGAGGAGGCAAGCGUUAUCCGGAAUUAUUGGGCGUAAAGGGUACGUAGGCGGCUGGUCAAGUCUGGGGUCAAAGGCCACAGUUCAACUGUGGGAAGGCCCUGGAAACUGACCGGCUAGAGUGAGGUAGGGGUUGCGGGAAUUCCCGGUGUAGCGGUGAAAUGCGUAGAGAUCGGGAAGAACACCUGAGGCGGAAGCGCGCAACUCGGCCUCAACUGACGCUGAGGUACGAAAGCGAGGGGAGCGAAUGGG
rnacentral:rRNA from 1 species